rnacentral:rRNA from 1 species
AUUGAACGCUGGCGGCAGGCCUAACACAUGCAAGUCGAGCGGAUGAAGGGAGCUUGCUCCUGGAUUCAGCGGCGGACGGGUGAGUAAUGCCUAGGAAUCUGCCUGGUAGUGGGGGAUAACGUCCGGAAACGGGCGCUAAUACCGCAUACGUCCUGAGGGAGAAAGUGGGGGAUCUUCGGACCUCACGCUAUCAGAUGAGCCUAGGUCGGAUUAGCUAGUUGGUGGGGUAAAGGCCUACCAAGGCGACAAUCCGUAACUGGUCUGAGAGGAUGAUCAGUCACACUGGGACUGAGACACGGUCCAGACUCCUACGGGAGGCAGCAGUGGGGAAUAUUGGACAAUGGGCGAAAGCCUGAUCCAGCCAUGCCGCGUGUGUGAAGAAGGUCUUCGGAUUGUAAAGCACUUUAAGUUGGGAGGAAGGGCAGUAAGUUAAUACCUUGCUGUUUUGACGUUACCAACAGAAUAAGCACCGGCUAACUUCGUG